CGCCUCUUGCUUAAACAAUAAGAGGUCCAGCCUGCCCAGUGACUCAUUGUUCAACGGCCGCGGUAUCCUAACCGUGCGAAGGUAGCGUAAUCACUUGUUCUUUAAUUGAGGACUAGUAUGAACGGCUUCACGAAGACUACACUGUCUCCUUUUUCUAAUCAAUGAAACUAAUCUCCCCGUGAAGAAGCGGGGAUAAACCUAUAAGACGAGAAGACCCUAUGGAGCUUUAAACAAACGAAAUACCUGCUAUUUAACUUUACACCUUCUGAAAACUAAAUAUAUCUCUAGCACUUUAAUUUCUAGUUUUAGGUUGGGGUGACCACGGAGAACAAAAUAACCUCCACGUUGAACGAGCCCUCCUCUUAGCAAAAAGUCACAACUUCAUGCAUCAACACAUUGACUUCCAUUGACCCAAUUUUUUGAUCAACGAACCAAGUUACCCUAGGGAUAACAGCGCAAUCUUCUUCGAGAGUUCUUAUCGACAAGUAGGUUUACGACCUCGAUGUUGGAUCAGGGUAUCCUGGUGGUGCAGCCGCUACUAAAGGUUCGUUUGUUCAACGAUUAAAACCCUA
rnacentral:rRNA from 1 species